UCUCGGCUUAUCACCGGCAGUCCCCCUAGAGUGCCCAACUAAAUGAUGGCAACUAAGGGCGAGGGUUGCGCUCGUUGCGGGACUUAACCCAACAUCUCACGACACGAGCUGACUACAGCCAUGCAGCACCUGUCAGGGGCCCUUACGGACACCGCAUCUCUGCGGCUUUUCCCCUGAUGUCAAGCCCUGGUAAGGUUCCUCGCGUUGCGUCGAAUUAAGCCACAUGCUCCGCCGCUUGUGCGGGUCCCCGUCAAUUCCUUUGAGUUUUAGCCUUGCGGCCGUACUCCCCAGGCGGGGUGCUUAAUGCGUUUGCGACGGCACGGAGGGGGUUGAUGCCCCCCACACCUAGCACCCAACGUUUACGGCUGGGACUAC
rnacentral:misc_RNA from 1 species